CCUACGGGGGGCAGCAGUGGGGAAUAUUGGGCAAUGGACGCAAGUCUGACCCAGCAACGCCGCGUGAAGGAAGAAGGCUUUCGGGUUGUAAACUUCUUUUAAGGGGGAAGAGCAGAAGACGGUACCCCUUGAAUAAGCCACGGCUAACUACGUGCCAGCAGCCGCGGUAAUACGUAGGUGGCAAGCGUUGUCCGGAUUUACUGGGUGUAAAGGGCGUGCAGCCGGGAAGACAAGUCAGAUGUGAAAUCCCGCGGCUCAACCGCGGAACUGCAUUUGAAACUGUUGAUCUUGAGUACUGGAGAGGCAGACGGAAUUCCUAGUGUAGCGGUGAAAUGCGUAGAUAUUAGGAGGAACACCAGUGGCGAAGGCGGUCUGCUGGACAGCAACUGACGGUGAGGCGCGAAAGCGUGGGGAGCAAACAGGAUUAGAUACCCCUGUAGUC
rnacentral:rRNA from 1 species